UCUCACCAUUCAUCCUCUCUUUGCUCUCUCUCUGAUCUGCGGCGGCUGGAGCACCGAGGGCGGCCUAGGCGGAUGGAAUCGAAGACGGCAAGGGGGAGAUGGGGCGGCGUCUCUCCCCGGUGAUCCCUAGGCGACGGCGGCUGGAGCACCGAGGGCAGCGGAUGCGGACGGGAUCGAGAGCGGCGAGGAGGGGACUGUUCGGCGACGGAGUUAGGCGAGGCAGGAGCGGGCGGGACGGCGUCAUGAUGCAUUAUCUGGACAUACUUCUGGCAGAACAGAGAGAACGAACAGCAGCCGGUGGGCGCCCAGGUCUCCUCUUUCUUGUUGGUUUGAUUUGCUAUGUUUUCCUCCCAUUUCCUUGAAUAUAUGGGAUAGGCAUCAAAAGGCAGUAGUAGGAUCAGUACACCUUGUUAAUUAGUUUCUUAAUCUGCAGUAUGAUUUUUCUAACUGGAUUGAGAGAGCUGAUUGAUUAAUCCGUAGAUUGAGGUUUGGCUUUGGGUUAAUCUACAGUAGGAUGAACCAUAGAACUACAACUACUAGCUCAGAUGGUCAAAACUUGCUUGACGGUAAUGCUAUCUAGGUUCUGGACUACAAUUACAACUACUGGCUCUGUUGGUUGUGUAAUGUUAUCUAGGUCUUGGACUUCAGUUUUUUGUACGCCAUAAACAUUGCCUAUUCUGGUGCUCACAAGUUUUUUGUUCAUUUUAGUAGUGUUGACUGCUGUUGGAGCCUAUUUUUUGUCAUACUACUUCUAAAUUUACUGUGAGCAAGUUUCAUGUUCAUUUGUACAUGAUUAUUUAGAUAGUAUCUUCUGAAGAUUUUAUAUUUGUUUCUAAAUGAAUUUUGUUGUUAUGAAUUUAUUAUUCCUUUGCUUUUGUUUCUCUGCUUCAUUAACUGCAUGUCGUCUUAUAGUUAGCAUGAAUAGACAACUCUAUUUCUUUGUAUUUUUUGAAAUAAAAUUAUUAGUCAUCUAACCUCCUGACAGUAGAAACCUUCUGGAGUAGACCAGCAUCUCUAUGUAUCUGCUCGUGGGAUUUACUCGUUGUUUUAGGGGUAUGCGACACUCCUGAUGGAAGAAGCAGAAAGAAUUGCUCGUAAAGAGCAUGGGUGGAAGAAACUGGUUGUCACAUCAAGAUCAGGAGUUGGGAACCGCCACUACUACUGCAAGCUGGGUUACCAGCUGGAGGGACCUUACAUGCUCAAAUGCUUGACUUAGUUUAGUUCAAUAUCCAAUGGUGCUUGUAUUGCAAAUACACAAAUCAGUGUACUCAUGCAGUCAGUGUAAUGUAUCUGUAACAUUGUUAGUUUUUGUGUGUGUUUGACAUUCUUAGUAUGGAUUAAUAUGUCAGCACAUUAUAUCUCCUAGUAGAAUUGGAAUUAUUUCAUCUAUGCAAUGAAGCUGCUUUACAAGAUA